rnacentral:rRNA from 1 species
GGACUACCGGGGUAUCUAAUCCUGUUUGAUCCCCGCACUUUCGUGCCUCAGCGUCAGUUAUUGCUUGGCAAGCUGCCUUCGCUAUCGGUGUUCUUGACGAUAUCUAAGCAUUUCACCGCUACACCGUCAAUUCCGCCUGCCUCAUCAACACUCAAGCCCCGCAGUAUCAAUGGCACCUCGACAGUUGAGCUGCCGUAUUUCACCACUGACUUACAGGGCCGCCUACGCACCCUUUAAACCCAAUAAAUCCGGACAACGCUUGCCACCUACGUAUUACCGCGGCUGCUGGCAC